rnacentral:rRNA from 1 species
CCUACGGGAGGCAGCAGUGGGGAAUCUUGCACAAUGGGGGAAACCCUGAUGCAGCGACGCCGCGUGAGUGAAGAAGUAAUUCGUUAUGUAAAGCUCUAUCAGCAGGGAAGAAAAUGACGGUACCUGAGUAAGAAGCCCCGGCUAACUACGUGCCAGCAGCCGCGGUAAUACGAAGGGGGCAAGCGUUAUCUGGUUUUACUGGGGGUAAAGGUAGCGUAGACGGCAGUGCAAGUCUGGAGUGAAAGGCGGGGGCUCAACCCCCGGACUGCACCGGAAACUGUGCGGCUGGAGUGCAGGAGAGGUAAGUGGAAUUCCUAGUGUAGCAGUGAAAUGCGUAGAUAUUAGGAGGAACACCGGUGGCGAAGGCGGCCAACUGGGCUUUAACUGACGCUGAGGCUCGAAAGUGUGGGGAGCGAACAGGGUUAGAUACCCUUGUAGUC